UACAGAGGUCUCAACCGUUGUUCGGAUUCAUUGGGCGUAAAGGGUGCGUAGGCGGUCGCGUAAGUCAGGUGUGAAAUCUCAGGGCUCAACCCUGAAACUGCACUUGAUACUGCGUGGCUCGGGUACUGGAGAGGAGACUGGAAUUUACGGUGUAGCAGUGAAAUGCGUAGAUAUCGUAAGGAAGACCAGUGGCGAAGGCGGGUCUCUGGACAGUUCCUGACGCUGAGGCACGAAGGUCAGGGGAGCAAACGGG
rnacentral:rRNA from 1 species